UUUGAAUCUAGAAAUUGGAGGAGAUCCGAGGGAGAAAAAAGACGAGUGCUCCGGUGAAAGAGGAGAGCUAUUUUUGUGUGGAACUGAGUGUCAUUUUAACCGAGUUGUAUCGGCUAAGAUGACAUCAAAUUAGACCAGUGGCCGAGUUUCAAGUCCUACACCUUAGGAGACGCAACACAGAAUGUGUUCCUUAUGUAAGUUUUCUUCUCACAGUGGUUCCAUCUCUAGGUUUAUUAUGAUUUUCAAAUUAGUAUUAUUAGUUGGUGAAGUUACUUUUCGUGUUGUGGACAAGUCAGGCUAGGCCCUUUAGCUGUUCAACAUUUUUUGAAGUUUCUGAUCGUUAGAUAGUUUUAGCCAGAGUCUGGUAUUAGACGUCAUGUUGAUGCAGUUAGUAUCUUAUAAUGUAUAUUGUGAUCCUAAAUAUUUAUGUAAUCAUGAACUGGCCAGGGGAAGUUGUUUUCUCCAGUAAUUAAGUAUUGCAUAUGAACUUGCAAACCGAUUAUGUUACAUGUCUAAAGCAAGCUACGGCUGCGAGUCUCUCAGACUCUACAUUCUGUUUCGGAUCAGAACCUCUCUUUGAACCUGUAAGGAGUCUCAAUUGAUCUGAAGGUAGAGAGAUAUAUAAGCGCUUGCUAAACAAUGAGCUGAGCUUAAGAGUUCAUCUUAGAUCUGUUUCUUGCCAACUGUUGCACUGAUAUUUAAGUAUCUUCCCAAUCUCUUUGUUCCACUAAACCUGCUCUUGAGGUGACCAAUCUCCGUAAAUUCCAACUAAAAUCGCAGUAGAAGAAUAGGUGGUUAUGAGAGGCUCAUUAAAGUCCAAGAUUUGUGUGUGGUUAUAAAAUUCUACAUGAGAAACAUUUGCAAGUUCCGUAAACACACUGAACAUUUUGAAAAUCGUUUUAUUGAUUUUUCAUUCUCUUUAACAUUAUUAUCUUCAGGUUUGAGUUUUUUUCCUUGGAAUAUUCUUUGUCUUUUGCUGCUGUUUGCACGGUCUAUUCUCACAAACAUAUUGUCCUCAAGGUCAGAGACCUUUGUCUUUUCUGAAGUACUAUUGACAGCAUGAGGCCAUCGUGUUGAGAUCUGGAAGGCUGGCUAUUGUGGUGACUGUGAAGUUGAUCAGAAAUGGUUUCACCUAAGUGUUUCUGGGUCUGUAUAAUGCAUGUAAAGUGGAGACUUUGGCUUGUGUCGGAUCUCUGCAAAGUAUGCCGAAGAGGAAGAUCUGCUGGUGAGAUAAAGGAUGAAGAAAAACACAGUAGUCUAGAAGCGGGUCCCGAUCAGAAUUAAGCAACACAGCUGAUGAAUGUUAAAAGCAAAUUUAGAAGCAUAUAGAGAGAAGCAAAGGUGAGCUUGCAACUGAUGUCCACUUAAAUUAUAUCUUCUACUUGGUUGAGUUUUAUAUACAUAUGAUAUUUGUUUAUUGUUUGAAUUCAAGUUUGUAUCGCUUAUCAAAGGAACCGAUUAUCAUGCUUCAUACAGACUUUGUAUCUUAUUUCUAUGUCCCUGCUUUCACAGUAAACAUCCUCCUUACAUUGA